UUCUCAUGCCUCAGCCUCCUGAGUAGCUGGGAUUAUAGGCACCCGCCACCACACCCGGCUAACUUUUGUAUUUUCAAUAGAGACGGGAUUUCACCAUGUUGGCUAGGCUGGUCUUGAACUACUGACCUCAGGUGAUCUGCCCACCUCGGCCUCCCAAAGUGCUGGGGUUACAGGCGUGAGCCACUACACCCGGUCUCCCACCCUUAAAUGGCCUGGACAGACGAGGGAUGGGCAUGUGGCCGUGGCCUUUACUUCUCACUCUGGCUGGCCACUUGGAUGUGGCUUAUUCUGUUGAUGCAGACAAGCAUAUCCUCAAUGCACAGUGAAGCCUGGGAAAGCCCCUUCCUGACUUCAAUUGCUUCUGGGGCUGACCCUCAAAGACCUGUGGUAGCAGAGAGAAAAGGAGGCCCUACCUCUGGUGGAAAUAUCUGUGCCAAGAAACAAGGAGCUGGCUGGGCACAGUGGCUCACGCCUGUAAUCCCAGCACUUUGGAAGNNNNNUGAGGAGCUGAGAAUGGGGUGGGGCUGAGGCUGAAGGGUUUCAUGACACUAAAAAAAACUGAUGAGAUGCUGGAAAGUUGGGUCAUGAGGGCAGGAAGCAGAGGAGUCAGGUCUGGUUUCUAGGCCCUAAAUAAGCUUUACAAACUUCAAAGCACUCAGAGAUCUCUAGAUAAUAAUCAUAGCACCUUUAAGUGGCAAGCUGAGGGCCAAGAUCUGGCUGUCAGUCUGGGCUGAGAACUGGUGUUGCAA
rnacentral:lncRNA from 1 species